UACAGAGGUCUCAAGCGUUGUUCGGAUUCAUUGGGCGUAAAGGGUGCGUAGGCGGCGGGGCAAGUCGGAUGUGAAAUCUCAGGGCUCAACCCUGAAACUGCAUUCGAUACUGCCUUGCUCGAGGACUGGAGAGGAGAUUGGAAUUCACGGUGUAGCAGUGAAAUGCGUAGAUAUCGUGAGGAAGACCAGUGGCGAAGGCGGAUCUCUGGACAGUUCCUGACACUGAGGCACGAAGGCCAGGGGAGCAAACGGG
rnacentral:rRNA from 1 species